rfam:Solanum lycopersicum cultivar Heinz 1706 chromosome 6, whole genome shotgun sequence.
AUACUUAACUUGACGGGGUCAUUUGGUGAUCAUUAAGGCAUGUCCUAGGCUUGUUGCCUUCAUUGCACUUUGGAGUGGUGCUUGCCUAAUGUCGGCCCAAGUGGUCGAGUCUACGUUAUAAUUUGUUGCUGAGGGGGCCUGCUUUCGCGCGGCCCCUAC